UGGAAGGGGUGUAUUUAUUAGAUUAAAAGCCAACGCCCUUCGGGGCUCUCUGGUGAUUCAUAAUAACUGGUCGAAUCGCAUGGCCUUGCGCCGGCGAUGGUUCAUUCAAAUUUCUUCCCUAUCAACUUUCGAUGCGAGGGUCUUGUCCUCGCAUGGUUGCAACGGGUAACGGAGGGUUAGGGCUCGACCCCGGAGAAGGAGCCUGAGAAACGGCUACUACAUCCAAGGAAGGCAGCAGGCGCGCAAAUUACCCAAUCCCGACACGGGGAGGUAGUGACAAUAAAUACUGAUACAGGGCUCUUUUGGGUCUUGUAAUCGGAAUGAGUACAAUUUAAAUCCCUUAACGAGGAACAAUUGGAGGGCAAGUCUGGUGCCAGCAGCCGCGGUAAUUCCAGCUCCAAUAGCGUAUAUUAAAGUUGUUGUGGUUAAAAAGCUCGUAGUCGAACCUUGGGCCUGGCUGGCCGGUCCCCCUCACCGGGUGCACUGAUCCAGCCGGGCCUUUCCCUCUGUGGAACCUCAUGCCCUUCACUGGGUGUGCUGGGGAACCAGGACUUUUAC
rnacentral:rRNA from 1 species